CCUAGGUAAACCUAAACUCUUUGAGGAA
rnacentral:piRNA from 1 species